AGCAGCCGCGGUAAUUCCAGCUCCAAUAGCGUAUAUUAAAGUUGUUGCAGUUAAAAAGCUCGUAGUUGAAUUUCGGGGUCAGUAGGCUGGUCGUGCCCCCGGUACGUACUGGUCUCACUGAUUCCUCCUUCCUGAAGAACCGUAAUGCCAUUAAUUUGGUGUUGCGGGGAAACAGGACUGUUACUUUGAAAAAAUUAGAGUGUUUAAAGCAAGCUAACGCUUGAAUACAUUAGCAUGGAAUAAUGAAAUAGGACGAUCGAUCCUAUUUUGUUGGUUUCUAGGAUUGACGUAAUGAUUAAUAGGGAUAGUUGGGGGCAUUAGUAUUCAAUUGUCAGAGGUGAAAUUCUUGGAUUUAUUGAAGACUAACUACUGCGAAAGCAUUUGCCAAGGAUGUUUUCAUUAAUCAAGAACGAAAGUUAGGGGAUCGAAGACGAUCAGAUACCGUCGUAGUCUUAACCAUAAACUAUGCCGACUAGGGAUCGGAUGAUGUUAAUUUUAUAAUGACUCAUUCGGCGCCUUA
rnacentral:rRNA from 1 species